CAGCAGCCGCGGUAAUACGUAGGUGGCAAGCGUUGUCCGGAAUUAUUGGGCGUGAAGGGCUCGCAGGCGGUCUCUUAAGUCUGAUGUGAAAGCCCCCGGCUCAACCGGGGAGGGUCAUUGGAAACUGGGAAACUUGAGUGCAGAAGAGGAGAGUGGAAUUCCACGUGUAGCGGUGAAAUGCGUAGAGAUGUGGAGGAACACCAGUGGCGAAGGCGACUCCCUGGUCUGUAACUGACGCUGAGGAGCGAAAGCGUGGGGAGCGAACAGGAUUAGAUACCCCCGUAGUCCCUGUCUCUUAUAC
rnacentral:rRNA from 1 species